UACAGAGGGUGCAAGCGUUAAUCGGAAUUACUGGGCGUAAAGCGCGCGUAGGCGGUGAUCUUUGUCAGAGGUGAAAGCCCGGGGCUCAACUCCGGAAUUGCCUUUGAAACGGGAUUGCUUGAGUCCGAGAGAGGAUGGCGGAAUUCCUAGUGUAGAGGUGAAAUUCGUAGAUAUUAGGAAGAACACCGGUGGCGAAGGCGGCCAUCUGGCUCGGUACUGACGCUCAGGCGCGAAAGCGUGGGGAGCAAACAGG
rnacentral:rRNA from 1 species